ACCAUGCAGUCGAGCGGUAGCACAGAGAGCUUGCUCUCGGGUGACGAGCGGCGGACGGGUGAGUAAUGUCUGGGAAACUGCCUGAUGGAGGGGGAUAACUACUGGAAACGGUAGCUAAUACCGCAUAACGUCGCAAGACCAAAGUGGGGGACCUUCGGGCCUCAUGCCAUCAGAUGUGCCCAGAUGGGAUUAGCUAGUAGGUGGGGUAACGGCUCACCUAGGCGACGAUCCCUAGCUGGUCUGAGAGGAUGACCAGCCACACUGGAACUGAGACACGGUCCAGACUCCUACGGGAGGCAGCAGUGGGGAAUAUUGCACAAUGGGCGCAAGCCUGAUGCAGCCAUGCCGCGUGUAUGAAGAAGGCCUUCGGGUUGUAAAGUACUUUCAGCGGGGAGGAAGGCGAUAAGGUUAAUAACCUUGUCGAUUGACGUUACCCGCAGAAGAAGCACCGGCUAACUCCGUGCCAGCAGCCGCGGUAAUACGGAGGGUGCAAGCGUUAAUCGGAAUUACUGGGCGUAAAGCGCACGCAGGCGGUCUGUCAAGUCGGAUGUGAAAUCCCCGGGCUCAACCUGGGAACUGCAUUCGAAACUGGCAGGCUAGAGUCUUGUAGAGGGGGGUAGAAUUCCAGGUGUAGCGGUGAAAUGCGUAGAGAUCUGGAGGAAUACCGGUGGCGAAGGCGGCCCCCUGGACAAAGACUGACGCUCAGGUGCGAAAGCGUGGGGAGCAAACAGGAUUAGAUACCCUGGUAGUCCACGCCGUAAACGAUGUCGAUUUGGAGGUUGUGCCCUUGAGGCGUGGCUUCCGGAGCUAACGCGUUAAAUCGACCGCCUGGGGGAGUACGGCCGCAAGGUUAAAACUCAAAUGAAUUGACGGGGGCCCGCACAAGCGGUGGAGCAUGUGGUUUAAUUCGAUGCAACGCGAAGAACCUUACCUGGUCUUGACAUCCACAGAACUUAGCAGAGAUGCUUUGGUGCCUUCGGGAACUGUGAGACAGGUGCUGCAUGGCUGUCGUCAGCUCGUGUUGUGAAAUGUUGGGUUAAGUCCCGCAACGAGCGCAACCCUUAUCCUUUGUUGCCAGCGGUCCGGCCGGGAACUCAAAGGAGACUGCCAGUGAUAAACUGGAGGAAGGUGGGGAUGACGUCAAGUCAUCAUGGCCCUUACGACCAGGGCUACACACGUGCUACAAUGGCAUAUACAAAGAGAAGCGACCUCGCGAGAGCAAGCGGACCUCAUAAAGUAUGUCGUAGUCCGGAUUGGAGUCUGCAACUCGACUCCAUGAAGUCGGAAUCGCUAGUAAUCGUAGAUCAGAAUGCUACGGUGAAUACGUUCCCGGGCCUUGUACACACCGCCCGUCACACCAUGGGAGUGGGUUGCAAAAGAAGUAGGUAGCUUAACCUUCGGGAGGGCGCUACCACUUUGAUUA
rnacentral:rRNA from 1 species